UACGUAGGGUGCGAGCGUUGUCCGGAAUUACUGGGCGUAAAGAGCUCGUAGGUGGUUUGUCGCGUUGUCCGUGAAACUCACAGCUCAACUGUGGGCGUGCGGGCGAUACGGGCAGACUGGAGUACUGCAGGGGAGACUGGAAUUCCUGGUGUAGCGGUGGAAUGCGCAGAUAUCAGGAGGGAACACCGGUGGCGAAGGCGGGUCUCUGGGCCGAUAACUGACGCUGGAGGAGCGGAAAGCGUGGGAGCGAACAGG
rnacentral:rRNA from 1 species